GAAAUCAUGCUACCACGGGGCAAGAAUAAAGGCAAGCCAUGUUUCAAACUGUUGUUGUCUGACAUAAUUUGGGACUGUCAGAGCAGAACAGAAAACAAAUUGGGUAUUCUAGGUCAAUCUGAGUAAAUCAUUAAUAUCAUUACAUUUAUAUAUCUUUUUAUUCAUAUGUGACUCUGAAAGUAAUGCCUCCUAUUUGUUUCCUUGAAAACAACACUGAUACAAAGAUGCACAAAAACACUAUUGAAUAGAGCAAAUUCUCAGUUACAAAACACUACUUUCCAGCAUAGUCAUCACCAUUAGCUAUGCAUUUUCAUCAGCAAUGAACAAGAGCUUGUAUGCUGUACUCAUAAAAAUCUGCAUGACCAUCCAGAACAUGGCCUGUCUUUCAUGUCACCACUGCUCAAAUGCCCCAUCUACCACCUCACUGUGAUCAAAUCCACUAUUUGGUCUCCAUAAACUUUCAGCAAGCAUCAAUGAAUGUCAGUGGGUGCAAUUUUUUCCCCACAAAGCAAUUCAGAUGUACAUAUUUCUUUCCUGUGCACUUCUAUGUCAAACACCAUUUUGUCAGACUGCCCCUCUGCUGCCAUCUGUCACACAGCAACAAAAUGGAAUAUUGGCAGGAACAUUCAACCUCUACUGUGACAUCACCAACAUCUGCCUCUGACAUCAUGGGCCUACAUAAUAAAACAGGAGGCAUUACUUUCAAAGUAUCCCUCAUAAAUGUGAGUAACUCAGAUGACUGCAUUUAUAUCCAUGCUGGAUUCAGAUCAAGAAGCUUGCCUGAUAGGAAGCAUCUGGAAUAG
ensembl:lncRNA